CCUACGGGAGGCAGCAGUGGGGAAUCUUGCGCAAUGGGCGAAAGCCUGACGCAGCAACGCCGCGUGCGGGAAGAAGGCUUUCGGGCUGUAAACCGCUUUCAGCAGGAACGAAAAUGACGGUACCUGCAGAAGAAGGAGCGGCCAACUAUGUGCCAGCAGCCGCGGUGAUACAUAGGCUUCAAGCGUUGUCCGGAUUUAUUGGGCGUAAAGAGUUCGUAGGCGGUCGAGUAAGUCGGGUGUGAAAAUUCUGGGCUCAACCCAGAGACGCCACCCGAUACUGCUUGACUUGAGUUCGAUAGGGGAGUGGGGAAUUCCUAGUGUAGCGGUGAAAUGCGCAGAUAUUAGGAGGAACACCGGUGGCGAAGGCGCCACUCUGGAUCGAUACUGACGCUGAGGAACGAAAGCAUGGGUAGCAAACAGGAUUAGAUACCCUGGUAGUCCAUGCCGUAAACGGUGGGCACUAGGUGUGGGUUUCUAUUAACGAAAUCCGCGCCGUCGCUAACGCAUUAAGUGCCCCGCCUGGGGGAGGUACGGUCGCAGACUAAACUACAANAGAAUUAGACGGCGUGAGACGUGCCGACGGACGACGACGAGGGAGGUAGG
rnacentral:rRNA from 1 species